AAUUGGGGUAGUGAUUUCUCCUGCAUGGACCUUGCUCCAUCUGAAACCGUGCCAACGUCAGUUCACACGCUGAGACCAGCAGACAUCAAUGUGGUGGCGGCACUCGGAGACUUUUCAACGGCAGGCACUGGCGCCAAGGCAAAGAACGUGUUUGACCUCAGGAAAGAGUAUAAAGGAGUAUCGUGGAG